rnacentral:rRNA from 1 species
UACGGAGGGUGCGAGCGUUGUCCGGAAUCACUGGGCGUAAAGGGCGCGUAGGCGGCGCGGGAAGUCAUCGGUGAAAGUUCAGGGCUCAACUCUGAAUCGGCCGGUGAUACUCUCGUGCUUGAGCACUGUAGAGGCAGGUGGAAUUCCUGGUGUAGCGGUGGAAUGCGCAGAUAUCAGGAGGAACACCGGUGGCGAAGGCGGAUCUCUGGGCCAUAACUGACGCUGAGGAGCGAAAGCAUGGGGAGCGAACAGG